AACGUAGGUGGCGAGCGUUAUCCGGAUUCAUUGGGCGUAAAGAGCUUGUAGGUGGUUCUGUAAGUUGGACGUGAAAACUCCGGGCUUAACUUGGAGAGGCCGUUCAAUACUGCAGGGCUAGAGGAUGUCAGAGGGGAGUGGAAUUCCUGGUGUAGCAGUGAAAUGCGUAGAUAUCAGGAGGAACACCCGUGGCGAAGGCGGCUCCCUGGGGCAUCCCUGACACUGAGAAGCGAAAGCUAGGGGAGCAAACGGG
rnacentral:rRNA from 1 species